GUCUGGGAUACCACUUGGAAACAGGUGCUAAUACCGGAUAACAACAAUAGCUGCAUGGCUAUUGCUUAAAAGGCGGCGAAAGCUGUCGCUAAAGGAUGGACCGCGGUGCAUUAGCUAGUUGGUAAGGUAAUGGCUUACCAAGGCGACGAUGCAUAGCCGAGUUGAGAGACUGAUCGGCCACAUUGGGACUGAGACACGGCCCAAACUCCUACGGGAGGCAGCAGUAGGGAAUCUUCCACAAUGGGCGAAAGCCUGAUGGAGCAACGCCGCGUGAGUGAAGAAGGUUUUCGGAUCGUAAAGCUCUGUUGUUGGUGAAGAAGGAUAGAGGUAGUAACUGGCCCCUAUUUGACGGUAAUCAACCAGAAAGUCACGGCUAACUACGUGCCAGCAGCCGCGGUAAUACGUAGGUGGCAAGCGUUGUCCGGAUUUAUUGGGCGUAAAGCGAGCGCAGGCGGAAAGAUAAGUCUGAUGUGAAAGCCCCCGGCUUAACCGAGGAAUUGCAUCGGAAACUGUGUUUCUUGAGUGCAGAAGAGGAGAGUGGAACUCCAUGUGUAGCGGUGGAAUGCGUAGAUAUAUGGAAGAACACCAGUGGCGAAGGCGGCUCUCUGGUCUGUAACUGACGCUGAGGCUCGAAAGCAUGGGUAGCGAACAGGAUUAGAUACCCUGGUAGUCCAUGCCGUAAACGAUGAGUGCUAAGUGUUGGGAGGUUUCCGCCUCUCAGUGCUGCAG
rnacentral:rRNA from 1 species